UAGUGAUUUUACUAGAAAACAGACGUCCCUGUUUAGAAGCCAGCCGAUCGCCCAGUGCCAUCACCCUGCCUGCUGGCUGGGCAGGGUAACUCCUCAGGUCACCACCCCCGUCUCCAGCCUGCCUUGGGCUUGGGGAGUGAGGAGAAGGGCGAGGGACGACCCUGAACAUCCUCCAUCCAUCGCUCCGUCACCAGAGCAAGAUGGCUGGGCUCCUGAGGAUGUUCAGGAAGAA